AUUGUUUCUUGGCCUUUUGUCUAAGUGUAGUGUCUAUACAUAUCAGUUUAGUAUCUGACACCUUGUCUAUUUCAAGACAAUAGAUUAAAAGGAUUUUUGGAGCAAGGAGAUGGAAUAGGAGCUUGCACUGUCCACUUCACACAUUGACCUGGUACUACAUUACCUCCAGGAAUGGUGCACCAUAU
ensembl:snRNA U2 U2 spliceosomal RNA